GCAUCGAUGAAGAACGCAGCGAAAUGCGAUAAGUAGUGUGAAUUGCAGAAUUCAGUGAAUCAUCGAAUCUUUGAACGCACAUUGCGCCCCUUGGUAUUCCAUGGGGCAUGCCUGUUCGAGCGUCAUUUGUACCCUCAAGCUUUGCUUGGUGUUGGGCGUCUUGUCGUAUUACGACUCGCCUUAAAUUCAUUGGCAGCCGGCACUUUGGCCUAGGAGCGCAGCACAUUUUGCGAUCGUAGCCCGUUGUACUGGCGUCCAUCAAGAACAUUUACCACGUUUGACCUCGGAUCAGGUAGGGAUACCCGCUGAACUUAAGCAUAUCAAUAAGCGGAGGA
rnacentral:misc_RNA from 1 species